AGGACGAACGCUGGCGGCGUGCUUAACACAUGCAAGUCGAACGGUGAAGGAGAGCUUGCUCUCCGGAUCAGUGGCGAACGGGUGAGUAACACGUGAGUAACCUGCCCUUGACUCUGGGAUAAGCGUUGGAAACGACGUCUAAUACCGGAUACGAGCUUCAGCCGCAUGGCUAGGAGCUGGAAAGAAUUUCGGUCAAGGAUGGACUCGCGGCCUAUCAGCUAGUUGGUGAGGUAAUGGCUCACCAAGGCGACGACGGUAGCCGGCCUGAGAGGGUGACCGGCCACGACGUGGGACUGAGACACGGCCCAGACUCCUACGGGAGCAGCAGUGGGAAUAUGCACAAUGGGACGCAAGCCUAGAUGCAGCGAACCGCCGCGGUGGGGGAACGAAGGCCGUUCGGUUAGUAAACCUCGUUUAAGUAA
rnacentral:rRNA from 1 species